CCUACGGGAGGCAGCAGUGGGGAAUAUUGCACAAUGGGGGAAACCCUGAUGCAGCGACGCCGCGUGAGUGAAGAAGUACUUCGUUAUGUAAAGCUCUAUCAGCAGGGAAGAAAAUUACGGUACCUGAGUAAGAAGCCCCGGCUAACUACGUCCCAGCCGCCGCGGUCAUACGUAGGGGGCAAGCGUUAUCCGGAUUUACUGGGGGUAAAGGGAGCGUAGACGGCAGUGCAAGUCUGGAGUGAAAGGCGGGGGCUCAACCCCCGGACUGCUCUGGAAACUGUACGGCUGGAGUGCAGGAGAGGUAAGUGGAAUUCCUGGUGUAGCGGUGAAAUGCGUAGAUAUUAGGAGGAACACCAGUGGCGAAGGCGGCUUACUGGACUGUAACUGACGUUGAGGCUCGAAAGCGUGGGGAGCAAACAGGAUUAGAUACCCGGGUAGUC
rnacentral:rRNA from 1 species